CCCAGGAAUCCUAUUCAAAGUUGAGAAUGAUGCUGACCGUUGGAUCUCAUGAUGGAUGAAUUUUCGACCGUCGAAUCGCACCCAGAAGUCUUUCUUUCAACCGGCAACAAAUGUGAACUAUUGGAUCUGGGUUGGGAUGAAUGUGAAUCUUUGGAUCACGUGAAGAGACUUUCGUCCACUAUGAACCGUGCCUGUGGACCGCAUA
rnacentral:lncRNA from 1 species